UCCUGCCGGAGGUCAUUGCUAUCGGAGUCCGAUUUAGCCAUGCUAGUCGUGCGAGUUCACACUCGCGGCACCGAGCUCAGUAACACGUGGCCAAACUACCCUACAGAGACGGAUACCCUCGGGAAACUGAGGUUAACCCGUCAUACCGAUCUCAGGCUUGAAUCGCAGAGAUCACAAAAUGCCCCGGCGCUGCAGGAUGUGGCUGCGGCCGAUUAGGUAGACGGUGGGGUAACGGCCCACCGUGCCAGUAAUCGGUACGGGUGAUGAGAGUCAGAGCCCGGAGACGGUAUCUGAGACAAGAUACCGGGCCCUACGGGGCGCAGCAGGCGCGAAACCUUUACACUGCACGACAGUGCGAUAGGGGGAUUCCGAGUGCGAGGGCAUACAGUCCUCGCUUUUCUGGAUCGUAAGGAGAUGCAAGAAUAAGGGCUGGGCAAGACCGGUGCCAGCCGCCGCGGUAAUACCGGCAGCCCGAGUGAUGGCCGAUCUUAUUGGGCCUAAAGCGUUCGUAGCUGGCCAGACAAGUCUGUUGGGAAAUCCACGCGCUCAACGCGUGGGCGUCCAGCGGAAACUGUCUGGCUUGGGGCCGGAGGACUCGAGGGGUACGUCCGGGGUAGGAGUGAAAUCCCGUAAUCCUGGACGGACCACCGGUGGCGAAAGCGCCUCGAGAGGACGGACCCGACAGUGAGGAACGAAAGCCAGGGUCUCGAACCGGAUUAGAUACCCGGGUAGUCCUGGCCGUAAACGAUGUCUGCUAGGUGUGGCACAGGCUACGAGCCUGUGCUGUGCCGCAGGGAAGCCGUGAAGCAGACCGCCUGGGAAGUACGUCCGCAAGGAUGAAACUUAAAGGAAUUGGCGGGGGAGCACUACAACCGGAGGAGCCUGCGGUUUAAUUGGACUCAACGCCGGACAUCUCACCGGCACCGACAACAGUGACGACAGUCAGGUUGAUGACCUUACUCGAGCUGUUGAGAGGAGGUGCAUGGCCGCCGUCAGCUCGUACCGUGAGGCGUCCUGUUAAGUCAGGCAACGAGCGAGACCCGCACCCUUACUUGCCAGCAGUAUCGCGAGAUAGCUGGGGACAGUAGGGGGACCGCCGUGGCUAACACGGAGGAAGGAACGGGCAACGGUAGGUCAGUAUGCCCCGAAUGUGCUGGGCAACACGCGGGCUACAAUGGUCGAGACAAAGGGUUCCAACUCCGAAAGGAGACGGUAAUCUCAGAAACUCGAUCGUAGUUCGGAUUGUGGGCUGCAACUCGCCCACAUGAAGCUGGAUUCGGUAGUAAUCGCGUGUCACAAGCGCGCGGUGAAUACGUCCCUGCUCCUUGUACACACCGCCCGUCA
rnacentral:rRNA from 1 species